rnacentral:misc_RNA from 1 species
UUAAUAGAUGGACCAAUGGCACCUUCGCUGGAGAGAAGUUGCCGUAACCUGGACGGCAAACUCGAUCUUAAGGUCGUCAUAUCCAACCUCUACUUUCUCUCCUUGUAUUCACUUAAUUAACAAAGUCACGGACGGGCGACUCAUCCAGAGAGUGUUGUAGAGACUGUACAGAAAAUAGGGUUUAUAGAGAGAAGAACAAGGAAAACCCCAAAGCCAAGAAAGAGAAAUGGAGAGAAGGGCGGGGGUAGGG